GAUGAAGAACGUAGCGAAAUGCGAUAAGUAAUGUGAAUUGCAGAAUUCAGUGAAUCAUCGAAUCUUUGAACGCACAUUGCGCCCGCCGGUAUUCUGGCGGGCAUGCCUGUCCGAGCGUCAUUUCAACCCUCGAACCCCUCCGGGGGGUCGGCGUUGGGGAUCGGCCCCUCACCGGGCCGCCCCCGAAAUCCAGUGGCGGUCUCGCCGCAGCCUCUCCUGCGCAGUAGUUUGCACACUCGCACCGGGAGCGCGGCGCGGCCACAGCCGUAAAACACCCCAAACUCUGAAAUGUUGACCUCGGAUCAGGUAGGAAUACCCGCUGAACUUAAGCAUAUCAAUAAGCGGAGGA
rnacentral:misc_RNA from 1 species